rnacentral:rRNA from 1 species
UAGGGAAUCUUCCACAAUGGACGCAAGUCUGAUGGAGCAACGCCGCGUGAGUGAAGAAGGUCUUCGGGAUCGUAAAACUCUGUUGUUAGAGAAGAACACGAGUGAGAGUAACUGUUCAUUCGAUGACGGUAUCUAACCAGCAAGUCACGGCUAACUACGUGCCUG